AUUUAUAGAUGAAUCCCAUAAUAAAUCCGCGAGUCAUUAUCGUAUGAAAUCUGAACUAGCAUCAAAUCACAUCUAACUAGUAAAUAAUUUUACUAAAAACAGUUUAAUUCUCAUUGGAAAAGUCUAUGGAUUUCAAAUACCAAAUCGUUUCAAGAAAGAUGAUAUGGCUUCAAAGAUUCAUCAGAAAAUAAUGGAAAUGAAUGAAAUGCCACACCCAGAGAAACUCGUAAAGCCCAAAGACCAGAUAAACAAUAUUCCCUGUUCAUAGGUAGUAAGAAUGCAGAGGCACCCUAGAUCAGACAAUAAUGCUCAACAAGAGACACUUCCUUCAACGUCACGGUCAGGUGAACAAGAGACACUUCCUGCAACGUCACGGUCAGGUGAACAAGAGACACUUUCUUCUACGUUACGGUCAGGUGAACAAGAGACACUUCCUUCAACGUCAGGUGAACAUGAUGAAGAAAAAUUGAAACAAGGUGAACGUAAAUGCUCAAGCCUAAAGAGAGUUUGACUAGAGAAUACUAGAAAAGGAAAUGGUAGGGGAAAGGGGAAGGCAAAGAAAAGUAGACGUCGUACUAAUCCCUAUGAAAGCUGCACCAUCUGCAACAAAGAAUAUACAGAAGGAGAACAGUGGAUACGCUGUGAUACAUAUCAUUUCUGGUUUGAUAGAGAUUGUGCAAAAUUACAGAAUUAUGAACUCUGGCAUCAAUAUUAAUUUGAGGCAGCCAAUUUUGAUUGUCUUCUUUGUCUGUAGUUCAGGAGGAAAUCAGAGCAGUCAUAUACAGUAUCAAAAGGCGGUCAGUUUUGAAAUGAUAUGAAUAUCCCCAGUCCAUGAAGAUGGAGAUCUUGGGCCUGUUCGGAUUAAAGACAUUGUGGAAUGUGAAUGAACCAACUUCUUGAUGGUGAAGAAGAAUAUUCAUAAUGUCUCUUGGAUUGUGCUCCAUCCAUACUGAGGAAAGGUUCAUUGAAACCAAACAUAGCCAGGUCAUUGACUGCUUUCCAGAAAACCAAGUAUAGCUCAGAGGCUGAUGCUCAAGUGGAUGUGAAAUACGUAAAUGGGAAACGGAAUCCUGUGUUACCAAGGAAAAGAAAUUGCAAAAGAUAUGUUGAUAGGCGAACCUCAUUUCUAUGGUGUAUUAGUGUGUCCAUAGCAAUGGACUCUUCAAUAACAUCUUUAAAGCCCAUCAUUUUUAAAUUUCCAUCUUUCUUAGAGAAUUGAAUGUCCUGCUCCAGACUCAUCUCAUCAAUGAGUAGACCACCUUCAUAACCCUCUGAUGAAAUAUUUUUGUUUCUUGCCUCGUUCAACAUCCAGUGGAACAUUUCUUUGUUAAAUUCUAAAGUUCAUAAGUAUUGAUUUUAACUAUGACAUAAAUUAACACUAAGCAAGUACCACUUAUAUAUUUUUACUUUUCAAUAGUGAACAACUGAAUAGUUUCUUGUU